GAUGUACGCUGGCGGCGUGCCUAAUACAUGCAAGUCGAGCGAACAGACGAGGAGCUUGCUCCUCUGACGUUAGCGGCGGACGGGUGAGUAACACGUGGAUAACCUACCUAUAAGACUGGGAUAACUUCGGGAAACCGGAGCUAAUACCGGAUAACAUGUUGAACCGCAUGGUUCAACAGUGAAAGACGGUCUUGCUGUCACUUAUAGAUGGAUCCGCGCCGCAUUAGCUAGUUGGUAAGGUAACGGCUUACCAAGGCAACGAUGCGUAGCCGACCUGAGAGGGUGAUCGGCCACACUGGAACUGAGACACGGUCCAGACUCCUACGGGAGGCAGCAGUAGGGAAUCUUCCGCAAUGGGCGAAAGCCUGACGGAGCAACGCCGCGUGAGUGAAGAAGGUCUUCGGAUCGUAAAACUCUGUUAUUAGGGAAGAACAAAUGUGUAAGUAACUAUGCACGUCUUGACGGUACCUAAUCAGAAAGCCACGGCUAACUACGUG
rnacentral:rRNA from 1 species